rnacentral:lncRNA from 1 species
AAGCUCUGGCCACUUUCAUGGGGAAGAUUCGGAUUUGGCUAACACUUGCACGGUCAGUCAUGAAAUGCAUUUAUAUGCAGAGAGAAAAAGCAGAGGGAGAGAGAGCAAGCACAUGCAAAUGUGGUAACAUCAGUGAAUCUGGGGAAAAGAACCUCAAUAUCAUCUGUCUUCUGGAGCAUCCAGUUUCUUCUGACAUCUGUGCUAAUGUCCACGAAGA